AUUGAACGCUGGCGGCAUGCCUUACACAUGCAAGUCGAACGGCAGCGCGGGGCAACCUGGCGGCGAGUGGCGAACGGGUGAGUAAUAUAUCGGAACAUACCCUAGAGUGGGGGAUAACGUAGCGAAAGUUACGCUAAUACCGCAUACGCACUAAGGUGGAAAGUGGGGGAUUCGCAAGAACCUCAUGCUCAUGGAGUGGCCGAUAUCUGAUUAGCUAGUUGGUGAGGUAAAGGCUCACCAAGGCGACGAUCAGUAGCUGGUUUGAGAGAACGACCAGCCACACUGGAACUGAGACACGGUCCAGACUCCUACGGGAGGCAGCAGUGGGGAAUUUUGGACAAUGGGGGCAACCCUGAUCCAGCAAUGCCGCGUGAGUGAAGAAGGCC
rnacentral:rRNA from 1 species